AUACCUUUCUCGGCCUUUUGGCUAAGAUCAAGUGUAGUAUCUGUUCUUAUCAGUUUAAUAUCUGAUAUGUGGACCAUCGGUCCACACGAUAUUAAAUUUAUUUUUUUAAGGGGGAAAGUCCAUUAAGAUAGCUUGCUAUCUGGGUUUUCAAGUGUUGCCUAUGCGUUGUAGUACUGCACAGGCCUGGCACACCCUAC